rnacentral:rRNA from 1 species
UGAGCAAUCUGCCAUUCUCUUCGGAAUAAGCGUGGGAAACCGCGUCUAAUGCCGAAUACGACCUCCUUUCGCAUGAUCGGAGGUGGAAAGCUCCGGCGGAGAAGGAUGAGCUCGCGGCCUAUCAGCUAGUUGGUGUGGGUAAUGGCCCACCAAGGCGACGACGGGUAGCCGGCCUGAGAGGGUGACCGGCCACACUGGGACUGAGACACGGCCCAGACUCCUACGGGAGCAG